CAAAAAUCCAAAAAAAAAACUUAGAAGAAUAGGUGGAACCUUUAGUACUUU
rnacentral:sRNA from 1 species